GAUGAACGCUGGCGGCGUGCCUAAUACAUGCAAGUCGAGCGAAUGGAUUAAGAGCUUGCUCUUAUGAAGUUAGCGGCGGACGGGUGAGUAACACGUGGGUAACCUGCCCAUAAGACUGGGAUAACUCCGGGAAACCGGGGCUAAUACCGGAUAAUAUUUUGAACCGCAUGGUUCGAAAUUGAAAGGCGGCUUCGGCUGUCACUUAUGGAUGGACCCGCGUCGCAUUAGCUAGUUGGUGAGGUAACGGCUCACCAAGGCAACGAUGCGUAGCCGACCUGGGAGGGUGAUCGGCCACACUGGGACUGGGACACGGCCCAGACUCCUACGGGAGGCAGCAGUAGGGAAUCUUCCGCAAUGGACGAAAGUCUGACGGAGCAACGCCGCGUGAGUGAUGAAGGCUUUCGGGUCGUAAAACUCUGUUGUUAGGGAAGAACAAGUGCUAGUUGAAUAAGCUGGCACCUUGACGGUACCUAACCAGAAAGCCACGGCUAACUACGAGCCAGCAGCCGCCGUAA
rnacentral:rRNA from 1 species